CUACGCGCGCUGAGCCGACCAAUGUCUGCACCCGCAGACGUGGACGCGCCUACUAGCGUGUACGCGCAUGAGCCAAGAUCUCUGGACUUUCUUUGCUGGAACACGAACGUAAGUAUAGAUUUAUUGAUUUAUUGCUACAUUCGCAGUAAAGAUCGGCCUUUGUGUUUCCAUCAUCAUUUAUGUAUGAUUGUAAUGACGUUGUUUGAUAUUAGGACUAGCAGUAAAACUUUAUAUUCUGUAAAAAAAGGCUUUUAUUUCCAGCGCCGCCUCCCAGAAUGCUUUGCAUGGGGACGUGCGUCUGACGUCACGUAUCCAGAAAAUUCAAAAUGGCUGCACGCGGUAGGUGAGGCCCGAGCGAAAAAAAGUGGAAAAGAGUGUUAUUCGUCAAAAAACCCACACAACGACGGUCAUUUUUUCGCCGUGCUAUUGUAAAAUUGUCUUUUAUCUGUGUUUUGUGUUCCGGGGGACCCCGACUCCAGAAUGUGAAAGUUUCCCGCGUGAAGCCGUGGAGCUCGAGAUCCUGCUUACUGUGGACUAGCUGUGUGUGACGCCCUGUUGUUUUUGUUUCCAUUACAAAAAAAAGCUCCACCGUCUCGCCGAGUGCCAGCAAGAGUCAUGAGUACUUGUCAACUCGACUCCUCAACUGGAGAUAACUUUCUAGCACCUCACCAUGGGGAAGGAUGUAUUCAUAUGCCUUCACCAGCACCUGCAUUAAACAUGCAGAGAGUUACACAAG